rnacentral:sRNA from 1 species
CAACCCAGUCAUAGUGGAAUGGAACUAUGAAACUAGCCAAAGGCACAUAAAGCCUUUAGUCAAGACUCUUGGUUGCAAGUAACAGAAAGCCAACUAAAGACAGUGUAAGAAGAGAAAAAGGAGUUUAUUAGUUCAUGGCAUUGAAAAAAGUCCAGGGGUUUCUAACUUUGAGGACAGCUGCAACAGGGAACUUAAAUAAUUUCAUCAGGAUUGUUUCUUUCUCCAUCUGUAGACUCUGUUUUCUUCUGUGUUGACCUAAUUCCUAGGCAGAUUCUUAUGUCAUGGCCAAGAUGUCUGCCAGAAGAUCCAGGUUUAUAUUCUAACCAUAUGAGUAACCCCAGAGGAAGGAGAAUUCUACUUUUCUAGGGAUGACAGCCAGAUGCCAGGAUUGGCUUUUGUCAGCUCAGCUUGGAGUUUGUGCUUAUUUUCUGUGGAAAUUCAUCAUGGUUUGGGGCAACUUAGUGUUCUCAAAUACCCUUCCUAUUUAGGGGGCAGUGGGAUGCUUACCUAUCCAAGGGAACAGCCAGACACUGUCUGUCCAGGCCUCCCUUGCAGCCAAGAUACAGUCAUGUGACAUAGACUCUGCCAAUAAGACCCACAUGUGGCUUCAAUUUGGAAAAGAGCCAUGCGAGGAAGCAGGCAGCAUGGAAGAUCCAUUUUUCAGUGACCAUUGAUGGCAUCUGACUUUAGGGAAAACAACUGCUGAGCCUCUGAUGUUUGCUCCCCAACAUCAACAGCUUUCACUCUGGGUUCUGAUCCAGUGGAAGCAGCAGUUAGGCUUUGCUGGAACAAUCUUGAGGUUGGAAAUCUCACUCUGGUCCAUCCGAGAGCUUUACUAAAUCACUUUUUGCUCUCAACUUGCUAGAGUGACUAACUACGACUCUGGACAGAUCUGCCAUCCCUGAAUUCGUCACCACGGCCAUGUCUUGCUCAUUUUCCCAGCCCUGAAAUUACUGCAGAGUCAGUCUUGCGAAACCAUGCAGCUGAGAAGUAGGGGAAGGGUGAUGCCCUGAAGGAAAAUUGAGAUGCUCAAGGGGCGAUCAAUGCUGAGCAUGUAAAAGCAACAGAUGUCCACCUCUCCCUUUCUUUUAAGGAUUCUCAUCAGCCUCCUGUGACCCUAAUGGGCUGGCACACUCCUUAAUCUACAGUGUGCUUCUAAUAGAUUUUCUUUCAAAACCUAAAUUAUCCCUCCUUAGCAUCUCCUCCAGGGACUUUGGGCUCCUUCUUUAACUGGAGGUAGAAAGAAGUUUACUGCACAGCACAGUCUGGGGACAGAGCGUGUGCAUGCCAUUAAAUUUCUUUGCUAUCUCCCUCCAAGAGUUGGCUGCUGUUUGCACAUAAUAGUAAGACGGAAGGAUUAUUAGGGAAAUUUGGUCACCCUAGCUGUGGCAUAGUGCAAAGAAACAUGGGAGAGAAGAAAGAAACUUGGGGUAAGCCAUAGUUCUGCUGAUCUCUAACUAUCCAAGAAGGACGUUGCUCAUUCUGGAACCUUCAUAUCCGACCUAUGAAUGUGCUAGACUGGGUGACUCCGUUCCAGGUUAGCUGUAAUGGAUCAAGGAAUCCUAAAGAGGAAUUAAAGGGCUCAGAAGCAAAACUAUUGGUACUCUAGUGACAUCUGGUGGUUAUCCUGAAUUUAAAACCUCUGACUAUUUUUUUGAUGUCUGAUUUUGUUUCAUUGCAUUCUAUCAAGAAUAUUGAUUAUGCUGUAGAAUGGCCAAGAUUUGUUGGCUUCUUUUAUUUGUGCUGUGUUUUUCUAUCCACUAGACUCUGUCCCUGGGCAAUAAGCUUUCAGUGGAAAUUAAUCGGUUUGACUUUUUUCUAGAAUUUUAUACCUUAUGAGUUAGUGGUUUAUCAUAACCUAAGAGGUCAUCUUUUUUUUUUUUUUUUUUUUUUUUUUUCUAGAGACAUGGUGUCAUUCUGUCACCCAGGCUGGAGUGCAGUGGUGCAAUCAUGGCUUGGCUCACUGCAGCCUUGACCUGCUAGGCUUGGAUGAUCCUCCUACCUCAGCCUCCAGAGUAGCUGGGACUACAGACAUGCACCACCAUACCUGGCUGAUUUUUUUGCUUUUUUUUUUUUAUAUAGAGAUGGGGUUUCACCAUAUUGCCCAGGCUGGUCUUGAACUCCUGGACUUGAGCAAUUGACUCACCUUGGCCUCAAAAAGUGCUGGGAUUACAGGCAUGAGCCACCAUGCUUGGCCUAAGAGGUCAUACCUUUAUUAGUUGUAGCUAAAAAGGCUUCCAGAUGCAUUAACUUCUUUUGCUUUCCUUUAGAACUCUAUGAACAAGAAUGCAACGGAGAGACUGUGGUCUACUGGGAAGUGAAGUACCCUUUUCCCAUGUCCAACAGAGACUAUGUCUACCUUCGGCAGCGGCGAGACCUGGACAUGGAAGGGAGGAAGAUCCAUGUGAUCCUGGCCCGGAGCACCUCCAUGCCUCAGCUUGGCGAGAGGUCUGGGGUGAUCCGGGUGAAGCAAUACAAGCAGAGCCUGGCGAUCGAGAGUGACGGCAAGAAGGGGAGCAAAGUUUUCAUGUAUUACUUCGAUAACCCGGGUGGCCAAAUUCCGUCCUGGCUCAUUAACUGGGCCGCCAAGAAUGGAGUUCCUAACUUCUUGAAAGACAUGGCAAGAGCCUGUCAGAACUACCUCAAGAAAACCUAAGAAAGAGAACUGGGAACAUUGCAUCCAUAGGUUGAUGUCUCUGGAAGUGCAACCACCCAAUGUCUCUGGAAGUGCCACCUGGAAGUGCCACCUGGAAGUGUCUCUGGAAGAGCACCCACCACUGUUCAGCCUUCCCCUGCUGUUUCUGUCUUCAGAGGCCUACACACUCUACCACAUCCUUUCUAAGCAUGUUCGCCUGACAUCCAGCUCACUCGUCUGCUUCCUUUCUCACUCCCCGCAUCCUGGGCUGGGCAGCCUUCUUCUACAGUUCAAUAUGGGGCAGACUAGGGAAACCUUUGCUUGCUUACUAUUAGGAGGGGAAGUCUUCAGUAGGGAACACGAUCAUUCCAUUGUGCAAUUUUACGGGGAUGGGUGGGCGGAGGGACACAACAAAAUUUAAGAAUGACUAUUUGGGCGGGCUGGCUCUUUUGCAGCUUGUGAUUUCUUCCAACUUGGGAGGGGCUGCUGGAAGUGGCAUUUCGUUCAGAGCUGACUUUCAGUGCACCCAAACUGGAUGACGUGCCAAUGUCCAUUUGCCUUAUGCUUUGUGGAGCUGAUUAGGCUGGGAUUUGAGGUGAUAAUCCAGUAAGUCUUUCCUCGUUCCUACUUGUGGAGGAUCAGUAGCUGUUAUGAUGCCAGACCAUUUGGAGAAGUAUCAGAGGCCUGACUGGACACAUAAUAUGACAACCACAUUUUUCCUCAUCAUCCAUGAGGAAAUGGAUGAUUUCUCUUUUCCAUAUGUCACUGGGGAAAGGCUGCCUGUACCUCUCAAGCUUUGCAUUUUACUGGAAACUGAGGCGUCAAGAUGGCUGUGGCAGCUAGCAAAAGCAAAGAUGCUUUGUGCAUAGCCUUGUGAAAAAGUAUCUUUCUAUGCAUUAAGAUGAAUUUUCCUCCCAGAAUAUUUAGAAAUGUAGAAGGGAUAACAGUUCACAGCCAGGUAAAAUUUAACUGGUGGCUUAAUGACUCUGCACCUUUUUCUCAGGAAUUCUGCCUAAGUUGUCUGCCUUUUCUACCACCAAAAAGACUUUUAGUUUUCUAUGGUUUCUCCUGAAUUUUGGUAGGAUAAGGUAUUUCUAUGUCAAAGGCACAGCCUUGAUGAUCUCAGGGAAAAAUUUUAAUCACUGUGUAUAAUGAUACUGAACCUUGAUUAAUAACAGAAAUUCAGGAUGUAAAGCCACAGAAUGGGAUUUAUUAACGUGGGAUACCCCAGACUGUUUGUUUUCUUUCUGGGAAGAAAAGUGUGUUCUAUAAUGAAUAAAUAUAGAGUGGUUUUUACUUGUCCUGUGUA